GUAACCUACCCUCAGGANUGAGAUAACCCCGGGAAANUGGGGCUAAUAUUAGAUAGAUAAAAGRUACUGGAAUGUUCUUUUAUCCAAAGCUUUUGCGCCUGAGGAUGGGCCUGCGUCCGAUUAGGUUGUUGGUGGGGUAAUGGCCCACCAAGCCUGCGAUCGGUACGGGCAGUGRGAGCUGAAGCCCGGAGUUGGGGACUGAGACAAGGCCCCAGGCCCUACGGGGCGCAGCAGGSGCGNAAACCUCUGCAAUGCGGGAAACCGUGACAGGGGGAUCCCAAGUGCUCAUGCAUUGCAUGGGCUGUNCUU
rnacentral:rRNA from 1 species